GUGAUAAUAUUGAAUUAGAUUACGAAGAUGAAGAAGCCAUUGAUGCUGACCCAGAAAAACCUUACCCUUCUUCUCUGUGGACUGUGAAGCCAAAAGCGUAUCUCAUUUCCAACAAAAUUGGCGUGCAGUGCAGGAAGGACCAUAGGAGCAUAUAAUGAAGAUUGGAAGCUAUGCUGGAAUUACCCGACCUGCUUUUUUACUUGUACAUCCAGAUUUACCCAUUCUUAUAUACGGUAAGCCACAGUUGAAACCUAUGGUGCCUCUUGGAAUUUCCGGGCACUAUGCGAGGAGGAUGGGAUUGAUUACGAAGAUUGGAUGUUCGGUUGCUGAAAGAACAUUCACAUCCACUUCUAGAGAUUCAUCUAAGCCCAAAACGAGGGAUGUUCGUGGGGGUCGGAAGCAAGGAGGUUCGUCACCCCGGUAUAUGAGUCCCACUUUACGAGAUAUGAAGAAUGAGAAGAUAGCGAAUCGCGCCAGGGUUUAUGAGUUUCUAAGGAGUAUUGGCAUUGUCCCUGAUGAGCUUGAUGGUUUGGAACUGCCUGUCACGGCUGAGGUUAUGAGAGAACGUGUCGAUUUUCUCCACCACUUGGGUCUUACAGUUGAAGACAUUAAUAACUAUCCUCUUGUUCUUGGCUGCAGUGUGAAAAAGAACAUGGUUCCUGUUCUUGACUAUCUGGGCAAAUUGGGUGUUAGGAAAUCAUCUUUCAGUGAGUUUAUUCGAAGAUACCCGCAAGUUCUUCACGCUAGCGUUGUUGUAGAUAUUGCUCCAGUGGUCAAGUACCUUCAAGGGAUGGAUAUCAAGCCAAAUGACAUUCCUGUGGUCCUUGAGAAAUACCCAGAAGUAUUGGGGUUCAAACUUGAAGGGACCAUGAGCACGGCGGUCGCUUAUUUGGUUGGAAUUGGGGUGGCAAGGAGAGAAAUUGGGAUUAUGCUAACUAAAUAUCCAGAGAUUCUGGGUAUGCGAGUAGGACGGGUUGUCAAGCCUUUUGUUGAGUAUCUCGAAAGUUUGGGCAUCCCGAGAUUAGCUGUAGCUAGACUUAUAGAGAAGCGGCCACACAUUCUUGGGUUUGGAUUACAGGACAGAGUCAUACCAAAUAUCGAAUGUCUUCUGAACUGCAAUGUAAGAAGAGCAUCACUUCCUUCUGUUGUAGCACAAUAUCCUGAGAUUAUAGGAAUUGACCUAGAGCCAAAGCUUAUUAGCCAACAGAGUUUGCUUCAUUCAAUUAUUGAGUUGGGUUCUGAGGAGUUUAGCAGAGUUUUUGAAAAGAUGCCGCAGAUUGUUAGUCUUGGUAAAACAGCUAUUGUGAAGCAUGUGGACUUCUUGAAGGAUUGUGGGUUUUCCUUGCAACAAGUGAGGGAGAUUGUUCAGGGAUGUCCUCAGGUGCUUGCUCUGAACAUUGACAUUAUGAAACUUAGCUUUGAUUACUUCAAAAUGGAGAUGGGAAGACCUUUGGAUGAUUUGGUUACAUUUCCAGCGUUCUUUACAUAUGGUCUUGAGUCUACUAUAAAGCCGAGACAUAAAAUGAUUGCAAAGAAGGGGUUGAAAUGUUCACUUUCAUGGCUUCUUAAUUGUUCUGAUGAGAAGUUUGAGCAAAGAAUGGAUUAUGAGACCAUUGACAUGGAGGAAAUGGAAAUGCCAUCAUUUGACAUGAAUACUCUCAUGGAACCAAGGAGCGAUGAUGAGUCUGAUUCUGACUAUGAAGAUUACAGUGAAGAUGAGGAAGUAUAGUCGCUGAGUCGGGUUUAGCUGCCGUUUGCUGUGGAGAAUCUUGGCUUUGUGAAGAUGGAUUUUCAUGUAGAGUAGGUUUAAUCAGAGGACUGGUGAAACUUGGUAAAUCAAUAUUGAGACAUGCUCUGCUUCAGGUGGCCACCUAAUUAUUCAGUUUUUGUAAGAACAUUUGAACCGGUCCUUCCUGCUAGACUCAUUUCCGCUCCUUUUCGAAUUCGGUGUAAAAUUGUACCUUUCCUAGUCUAAGAGGAACAAUAUCCUAGGUGAUUGAGCUUGGCCUUUAUAGAAGACCUCUUUAUUUAUAAGGGUCUUACUUUUCAAACUUGUAGUUGUAACCAAACUAAUCAAUAGAUAAGAAUGCUUGCAGAAUUUUGUUGCAUGCUCA